AUUGAACGCUGGCGGCAGGCCUAACACAUGCAAGUCGAGCGGAGCGGCGGACGGGUGAGUAAUGACUAGGAAUCUGCCUGGUAGUGGGGGAUAACGUCCGGAAACGGGCGCUAAUACAGCAUACUAUCAGAUUAGCCUAGGUUGGAUUAGCUAGUUGGUGGGGUAAAGGCCUACGAAGGCGACGAUCCGUAACGGGUCUGAGAGGAUGAUUAGUCACACUGGAAUUGAGACACGGUCCAGACCCCUCCGGGGGUCAGCAGUGGGGAAUAUUGGACAAUGGGCGAAAGCCUGAUCCAGCCAGGCCGCGUGUGUGAAGAAGGUCUUCGGAUUGUAAAGCACUUUAAGUUGGGAGGCGUUACCAACAGAAUAAGCACCGGCUAACUUCGUGCCAGCAGACGCGGUAAUAC
rnacentral:rRNA from 1 species